CAAUAGCGUAUAUUAAAGUUGUUGCGGUAAAAAGCUCGUAGUUGGAUUUCUGUUGAGGACGACCGGUCCGUACCAUGUACGCGCAUCUGGUUCGGCCUCGGCAUCCUCUCGAUAGACGUUUCUGCGCUUGAUUGCGUGGUGCGGAAUUCAAGACUUUUACUUUGAGGAAAUUGGAGUGUUUACAGCAGGCAAACGCCCUGAACACAUUAGCAUGGAAUAAUAAUAUAGGGCCUCGGUUCUAUUUUGUUGGUUUCUAGAACUGAGGUAAUGAUUAAUAGGGAUAAUUGGGGGCAUUCGUAUUAACGCGUCAGAGGUGAAAUUCUUGGAUUGCGUUACGACGAACUACUGCGAAAGCAUUUGCCAAGGAUGUUUUCAUUGAUCAAGAACGAAAGUGUGGGGAUCGAAGAUGAUCAGAUACCAU
rnacentral:rRNA from 1 species